AUUGAACGCUGGCGGCAUGCCUUACACAUGCAAGUCGAACGGCAGCACGGGAGCAAUCCUGGUGGCGAGUGGCGAACGGGUGAGUAAUAUAUCGGAACGUGCCCAGUCGUGGGGAUAACGUAGCGAAAGCUACGCUAAUACCGCAUACGAUCUAUGGAUGAAAGCGGGGGAUCGCAAGACCUCGCGCGAUUGGAGCGGCCGAUAUCAGAUUAGGUAGUUGGUGAGGUAAAGGCUCACCAAGCCGACGAUCUGUAGCCGU
rnacentral:rRNA from 1 species